GACGAACGCUGGCGGCGUGCCUAAUACAUGCAAGUCGAGCGAAGUUUUUCUGGUGCUUGCACCGGAAAAACUUAGCGGCGAACGGGUGAGUAACACGUAAAGAACCUGCCUUAUAGACUGGGACAACUAUUGGAAACGAUAGCUAAUACCGGAUAACAGCAUUAACUGCAUGGUUGAUGUUUGAAAGUUGGUUUUGCUAACACUAUGAGAUGGCUUUGCGGUGCAUUAGCUAGUUGGUGGGGUAAAGGCCUACCAAGGCGACGAUGCAUAGCCGACCUGAGAGGGUGAUCGGCCACACUGGUACUGAGACACGGCCCAGACUCCUACGGGAGGCAGCAGUAGGGAAUCUUCCGCAAUGGGCGAAAGCCUGACGGAGCAACGCCGCGUGAGUGAAGAAGGAUUUCGGUUCGUAAAGCUCUGUUGUUAGGGAAGAAUGAUUGUGUAGUAACUAUACACAGUAGAGACGGUACCUAACCAGAAAGCCACGGCUAACUACGUG
rnacentral:rRNA from 1 species